UACAGAGGGGGCAAGCGUUGUUCGGAAUUACUGGGCGUAAAGGGCGCGUAGGCGGCCCGAUCAGUCAGAUGUGAAAGCCCCGGGCUCAACCUGGGAACUGCAUUUGAUACUGUCGGGCUUGAGUUCCGGAGAGGAUGGUGGAAUUCCCAGUGUAGAGGUGAAAUUCGUAGAUAUUGGGAAGAACACCGGUGGCGAAGGCGGCCAUCUGGACGGACACUGACGCUGAGGCGCGAAAGCGUGGGGAGCGAACAGG
rnacentral:rRNA from 1 species